UAUUUGCAGCCCGACUUGAGUGGAGCUCUCCGCCGCGGCGAAAGCGGGAACGGAAGGCGGAAAUGUCU
rnacentral:misc_RNA from 1 species